AUGCUGCUCUUCCAAAUGAGCGCCUCUGCAAGGUGCACCGUCUUCGACAACUUCCUCGCCGACCCCAGGUACACCUUUGCAGGCUUCUCCAUCAACGUUGACAAAACCAGGCUGGAGCGCGUCAAACUGGAGCUCGCCAACUUCGUCGACAUCCAGAAGGAGUGGAGGGUGCCCAAGGCAACCAAGGCAUUGGACUCCCUUGGAGACGUCUCUGGCAUGCUCAUUGACGACUACUACAACAACAUGAAGAAGAAGAUCACUGACGACGAGCACAAGCGCUGGGCCACCUUGCCUCUUUCCAUAAGGCACAUCGAGUACGCGGCAAAGGACGCCUACGCAUCGUACGAGAUAUGGAACCGCAUCACCCUCACCCAGGACGGCCUUCGUCAUGCAAAGAUGGAGAAGGAGAAGCCCCCCAAGAAGCGCGCCAGGAGCAGCUGGGGAUGGGAAGAGCCUAACUGGUGA
rnacentral:rRNA from 1 species